ensembl:snRNA U6 U6 spliceosomal RNA
GUGCUGGCUGUGGCAGCACAUAUACUAGAAUUAGAAUGAUACAGAGAAGAUCAGCCUGGCCCCUGCACAAGGAUGACAUGCAAAUUCAUGAAACAUUCCAUAUUUUU